ensembl:miRNA MIR15B microRNA 15b
UGUGCCCUUAGACUGCUAUAGCAGCGCAUCAUGGUUUGAAACAAUGUGGAAAGGUGCGAACCAUUAUUUGCUGCUUUAGAAUUUUAAGGAAA